rnacentral:rRNA from 1 species
AGCGAACGCUGGCGGCAGGCCUAACACAUGCAAGUCGAACGGACCCUUCGGGGUUAGUGGCGGACGGGUGAGUAACACGUGGGAACGUGCCUUUAGGUUCGGAAUAGCUCCUGGAAACGUGUGGUAAUGCCGAAUGUGCCCUUCGGGGAAAGAUUUAUCGCCUUUAGAGCGGCCCGCGUCUGAUUAGCUAGUUGGUGAGG